GGCAGGCCGCGGUCCACGGCGGCCCAACGGCCUUUCCUUUCCCCGCACCACUGCCGCUCGGGCCCGCUCGUCAGCGCCCGCGACGCCGUCUUCUUCCUCCCCGCGCCGCCCGUCCACUGCCCCCGCGCCGCCCGCUGCUUCACCGCGCCGCUCGCGUACGGCCGCCAGCCCGACGCUGCUCCUCCGAGCCGCGUCAAUCAGCAGCACAGCGCGGCCCGACCUCCCCCGUCCCUGUGCGCCACCUCGAAUCUUCCCCAUCCCCUGUGCAGCGGUGGAAUCCGCCAGCGCCGCGUUGUCUUCCUCCCGCGCCGCCCGGGCCAAGGACGUGCGCUGGACGAGCGCAUUCAAGGCCGGGAAAGCUCCAGCGCGUGCACGCGGUGCACGCCGUCCAUCCUCGCGCCACUGCUCCCUCGCUCUUUCUCUCUCUGUCGGUGUGAGCCGCGUUAACACUCGUUUCACGCUCUCACCUCUGCCUCAUUCCGUGAAGCACACCUCUUCCAUGGCGCCUCCACUGCUCCUCUCUCUUUUCCACAGCAAGCCAGCGGCGGCAGGCAGCCAUCUCCCCUCCUCUGUGCUUUCUCCCGUGGCGAGCAGCAGCCCAACGCCACCCUCUCCCUCUGUUCCUUUCCCACGUCAAGCAGCUGCAAUCUCACCUCCCUCUCUGUUUCUUCUUCCCCACUGAGCCACCCACGGCAAGUAGCAGCAGCAACCCCUCAUCCCCUCUGCUCCUCCACCACACCACCGAGCAAGCACGAGCUGCAAUCCCAGCACCAGUAGCUCUCUCCAAUCGAUUCCCCUCCUCUGAUUUCUCUAAUCCGAGCAAACAAGGAGCUAGCCCCAGCGCCUUCUUUUUUUCCACCGCAAGCAAACAGCACCCAGCAGCGCCUUCUCCCUCCACCCAGCAGCGCCUUCUCCCUCCUCUUUGUUUUUCUUCUCCACGCAAGAAGCAAGUAGAGCAGCCGGCCGCCGCUGCUCCCUUGAACGAGUUCCGCCCACUCUAGCACUGCUCCCUUGUCCAAUCAGCAAGCAAGCAAGCUGCAGCCAAUGGGAGGAGGAGGAGGGCAGCACUACACCGCCGACCGCGAGCCGAAGGAGCAACCGGGCCGGAAGCUGCGACGCCACUGCAUCGACGACCACGCCGAGCCGGAGCAGCCACGAGGAGGAGUUGAACGUGGAGGAGCCACCGCGGGGAGCUGCGCUGCACGGUGACUCCGCAAACCCAAGGCCGUUGCUGUCAAGCCGUAACGCCCCUGCCGAGCACCACGAGCUCACCACGGCCGCAACGUCUUCCUGCUCCGCCUCUCCACGACGUCGUCCAGCCGCCGGACCAUCGCUGCCCUCGGACAGCAGCUCCGGCCAUCCUCCGCCCGCUUUGGCCGCCCUGCAAGCUUCCCCACGUCACGACAACGAGACGUUCAUAACUGCGCCAGACGCCGAGCUAAUACUUGAGAAUAUGAAUAAUCGGCAACAAGGCAAGCACCUCCUUGAUCAUAUUUACCCCUAUAUGAAUUCCUAAGCCUACAAUUAUAUGCAUGCGAUGAUGAUUUUAUGUGUCCAAAUGUCAUUUUAUGUCGGGUAGACACGUCCUACUUUAAUGCAUUUAUCUUCCUUAUUAUUUUGUAUCCCUUUUAUGCCUUGUUAUUCUAAGGCUAUGGAUUAUUCGCGUAGUUCAGAGUCACAUGCUUAGUUGGCUUAGUGUUUGCGCAGUAGUUAAGUAGCAUCACAUGGGCUGGUUUCUUUUAAAGAAAAAUAUACAUUUAUAUGGUUGUUUUUUUAAGAAUAAAAACUCUAUGGUAGAUGCGGGUGAAUAUAUGGUCUAGCGGUUAUGAUGGUAUGAGGAUGAAGAAAAAGAAUAUGGAUGAUAAAA